rnacentral:tRNA from 2 species
GCCGGAGUGGCGGAAUUGGCAGACGCACAGGACUUAAAAUCCUGCGAUAGGUGACUAUCGUACCGGUUCGAGUCCGGUCUUCGGCAC